rnacentral:rRNA from 1 species
UACAGAGGUGGCAAGCGUUGUUCGGAAUUACUGGGCGUAAAGGGCGCGUAGGCGGCCAACUAAGUCCGACGUGAAAUCCCCAGGCUUAACCUGGGAACUGCGUCGGAUACUGGAUGGCUUGAAUUCGGGAGAGGGAUGCAGAAUUCCAGGUGUAGCGGUGAAAUGCGUAGAUAUCUGGAGGAAUACCGGUGGCGAAGGCGGCAUCCUGGACCGACAUUGACGCUGAGGAGCGAAAGCUAGGGGAGCAAACGGG